GACGAACGCUGGCGGCGUGCUUAACACAUGCAAGUCGAACGGAAAGGCCCUGCUUUUGUGGGGUGCUCGAGUGGCGAACGGGUGAGUAACACGUGAGUAACCUGCCCUUGACUUUGGGAUAACUUCAGGAAACUGGGGCUAAUACCGGAUAGGAGCUCCUGCUGCAUGGUGGGGGUUGGAAAGUUUCGGCGGUUGGGGAUGGACUCGCGGCUCAUCAGCUUGUUGGUGGGGUAGUGGCUUACCAAGGCUUUGACGGGUAGCCGGCCUGAGAGGGUGACCGGCCACAUUGGGACUGGGAUGCGGCCCAGACUCCUACGGGAGGCAGCAGUGGGGAAUAUUGCACAAUGGGCGGAAGCCUGAUGCAGCAACGCCGCGUGCGGGAUGACGGCCUUCGGGUUGUAACCCGCUUUCGCCUGUGACGAAGCGUGAGUGACGGUAAUGGGUAAAGAAGCACCGGCUAACUACGUG
rnacentral:rRNA from 1 species